UGUCUUGUUUACACUUAAAUAAUGCAUCUUUAAAAACAAUCAAACUCAACUUUGUGUCAUAAUCAGACACCGAUAACAAGAUAUUGAUAUUGUGCAUCGCUAUGGUGUUGACGCUGCUGUUUUGUUAAUUUAAAGUGAAGUUAGAAGCAAUACUAAGUCUUGUCUGCUAGUUCAGACAUUUGUCUGUCAGUGUUUGUCCAAUGCGAGAUGUGAUGGAGGGGUUCAAGGAAAGAAGAAACUCUAAAACUCUUGGAAGUUUUUCGAUGUCAAAAGGAUCUCCAGUGGAGCCCUGGCACAGUACUCCUGUAAAAAAGAAUCUUUUUGCUGCUAAUGAGGCGCCAGAUGUUUCCUCCACCAAACUCAGAGAUGAAGACAGAACAAGGCCUGCAAGACUGAGUCUACACGACCUCUCAAAACCAAUGUCCUCUUUCUCAUUAACACAG